rnacentral:lncRNA from 1 species
GUCUCUAAGUGCUUUGAUUACAGAGCUAUAUAUGACAUAAUGUUAACAUUGUCGUUAAAUGGGACUUUGUGUGCCCUUAAUAUAACAAGAUGAACUUAAUAGUAGCAAGCAGGAAUAUACAUUAAAAUAUAUUACAUAUUAUGGAAAGAACAGGAAGUUUGAUGUGGAUUAUUAUGAAAAACAUAUUCCUAAUUUACGGAACCAAAUACUGGUGGAAUUUAAUAGCUGAUUCAGGUUAACCUAUUAUUGAUAUUUGAUCUUUAUUUCACUAAAUAAGAAGCAGAAAUAGGUAAAAAGGGCAUAGAUUUGUAAAAAAUCUAAAGAACAUAUAUUAGUAAGUAACCAGCAGAUAUAAAGCUAAAUAUUUUUUAGUAGAGUAAGAUUAGCUAAGGGCAUAAUGAUAAUAAUUUUAGAAUAAGCCUUUCUAAUAUCUGCAAAUCAGGGCUAAAAAGCAAAAUUAUUUGUUUUUAUUUAUUAGUCUUUUAAUUUCCUGAUUUAAAAUAUUUUUUUGCUAAAAACCUGGCAACACUGUUUUGUUGGCAUGCAUGAUUUGGGACCGUCACCACGUAAGACAGCACCUUGCAAAUUUACAAAAGCAAAAAUUUGUAAAAAAAAUUCGUGCUUGACAUUCUCAGCAAACAAAAAAUACAAGAAAAUAAAUUUUUCUUUAAAAGAUUACUUGACGUUGGUGACCUUGAACAAAUAAUGAUGGCGAUUUGCACUGUUAUGGGUGGGUCAAACUGUCGUUAAAAAAGCGAAAUAAAACAUUGAAUGUAAAUAAGACUAAAAAACAGAACUAACACUUACCCAAAUAUUAACAAUAAACUAAAAACUGCCACUUAGAGCACUCACUAACGCACCAGACAUCACUUUAUAAUUCCGUCAGUUCUUUAGUCAUUCCCAUUACGGUUUUCAUGUAUAUUUUAAGGUUUAUUUUUUAAUUUCUUUGAAAAUAUUGAUUUUAAUUGGUAGAACUUAUGUUGCAGAUUAAUAUUUAUUAUUUUAAAAUCCCAGAUGUAGCAUUGGUCAUUAAAUAAUUGAAGAUUUUGAAAUUAUAUCGAGAACUAUCCUCAAAUGCAGGACGCCAUAUUCAUCUCGCAUACAGAAAUUUGUUUUCAUAAAUAGCAUGCGUCAUAAUUCACAGUCGUUCUCCCUCCAAACGGGAAGGUUUCUACUUCUAUGAUAAAACCGAAUUGUAUUCAAUAUUUAAAGUGUACUGUGUACUGAAUUAUUAUUAAUAGGUUUGUACAAAUACGUCAAAAAACAGAUAUCCCAGAAGAAACAUUUAAUAAUAAAUUGAAAAUGAACCAUAGAAAAUUACAAACUCAAAUGAAAUGUCUAUUUGGUGCCCAUUUUAUUAUUUCACUAUUACUCUAUAGAUGGCAGCGAUUGUAAAAUGGACAACUAAUAUCGAGGAAUAUUGAUAUAAAUUAUAUAAAAAGUUGCAAAUAACUCAACAAGGAGGCAUUUUUCGAAAAAUUACUAACACAAAAAAGUAUUUUUUUCUACGACCGUUUAAUAACAUGCUUAUUAUUCACUAUUUUUGAAUAGAUAAUAACACUCAUGUAGGAAGAGCUAAAGUUCUUAUGGAAAUCCAUUGUUGCCACAUCUUCAAAUAUGAGAAGAGACGUCUAUCAAUUACUGUCAAUUGUCAUUGUCUGAUGAUCUUUGUUUGUUAUGUUUGGUUAUGUUAUUGACAACUUUUGAUAGGAUAAGGAUAUUUUAAACACAUUUUAAAAGAAAAAGAACCUUAGUAGUUAGUAGAAAGGAAAGCAAUUUUAGAUUCCAACCGUAUUAUUACUUGUGAAAUAUUAUCAUCUAGUGGGAAAACCGCAGUGAUUGUGCCUUCAAAGGGCAAUUUGAAAGGACAACCCCACCAAAAACCAUUAUAAUUGUAAAUUGAAAUGAUUGAUAUUAAAAAUGUUUGUACCUAUGUAAUUGUACAUGUAAAGCUGGAAAUUCAGGCAUACAUACAGGCUAUACAACAUAGUCAACAAUAAAGUCCUACCAGUCUGCUGAUAAAUGGGCUACUGAUAUUGUACUAAAUUAUGAUUUAGCUCUAUUUUACUCAAAUAAUGUUGAAGUAAGCUGCAGUAACUCUGUUGAAAUAUCUUUAGCUAUGCUAAACCAAACUGGAGAAGCAUGAAAAAAGCUGACGUGACUGCAAGUAACUAUUUAUUUACUUAUGAUAAAAAUAAAAGCCUAAGUUGGCCACUUAAAGUCAACCAAUUGUAUAAUUUUAAAAUUUAAAGAAAACACUGUACCCUUCCGUGGGAAAAAAUUAUGAAUCAGUUGCUUCAAAUAUGUAUGAAAAAA